CUAUUGUUUUGGUGGAAGCUGUGAAUGUGUGUGUGCAUGUACCAUGUAUUUCAUGCCUCGUGGGAACACGUUUCCUGACACAUAUUACGAUGUUGGGACUGAAGCCUGGUCCCCACAAAGGGAAAUGCUGUUAGGUUUAGGUUUAGGACUAAGAUGCGAAUUGAAUUUUGGUUAGGAUUAGGUAUAUAAUUGUAAGGGUUAAGAUGUAGAAAUGAAUGGAAGUCAAUGGAAAGUCCCCACAAAUAUAGAGUGAUAAGCAUGUGUGUAUGUGUGUGUGCGUGUCAUCCCCCUAGCAAUGGGAGAGGAGGAGACAACUGUAAGCUUGAGCCCAUCUUUUCUCGCCCCCUCCCUCCUUCCUUCUCGUCCUCAUGCUCCUUUCCAUUCCUCUCCACAGCCAUCAGGACCGUCCUCCUUCUCUUCCCGCCUCUCUGCUUGGUUAUCCAAUGCACCGUCGUCCCCGGUGCCUAACUGCUGGAGACCUAGAGGAAGGCUGCAGUCUCUGGUGAUUCUUUCCUGCACAUCUACUGAGACAAGAGACUCAGGCUGCGCUCGCUUCUCUGCAGACGGCUGGAUCUUGGAUUUUCCGCUCUCCUCUGGAAUAUUCCUCAGCAGACUCAAUCCGUGAACCUGCCUGUCCUCCCCUGUGCUGGCUGCCAGCGACACGCCACCAGCUCACCCGACAGACAUGAUGCAAAGCUCUGGCACGGGGGCUUCACAUUCCAAUGACACCCCCAGAAAUGAAGGCAGCAGCAGCAUCAAGCUGAGUAUGUGCAGGUUUAUGGAGACCCUGUGGAAGAAGGCAGCAGGUUUCUGUAGCAGAGUUUAGGCAGAGCGAGGUAGCCGAACUCAGAAGACUGAGCAGACAAAGAAAGAUGAGCAGAGUGUGUGAGGGGCUGAGAUGGAGUAGGUGAGACCCCUGCUGCCAGAGUCUCUGGAACUCCACAGAGACUAGUGAGGGUGAAGGAGCAGAGAGGAAGGUGGGGAGUGAAGGGGUUUUGCAGCUGGUGCUGAGGAACAUGGGAAUUUGUCGUGGAUCUGUUUCUGCCUCCUCUCCCCCGUCACGGAGGCGGUGACAACACACACCCAGUCUCUCCACGUUUACCCCUCUGUCGCUGCCUGGAGCAGCUUCACACUCUCAUUUCUUCUCUGAGGUCCCAAACAGCAUGCCGGAUGAUGCUUUGUACAUGAAACGUCUUAAGGUCAGGUGAGCUACAGGACCAUGGGCACCACCGUCAUCACGCUGGAUGAUGUGCAGGCGCUGGAGGCCAAGGAGGAGCAGGAGGAGUCCAUCUUGGCCAUGCUGGGCAUCGUUGGCACUUUCCUCAACCUCUUUGUAAUAGUUUUUGUUUACAUUUAUACCACGGUGUGAGGAGGGAAUCCCUGACUGGAUAACAGUGAUCAAUGGUAAGACCUUAGGAAAAACUGCGGCCUGACAUGAACACCUAUCCGAGAUCAAGAUGGAGGAAACGACAGGAAGUGGCUGAAGAUUACAAAGGGGAAGCCAUAUUGCCACACCACAGGUUUAAUCUGGAGAGAUAACGAAGGGCUUGAAGCGAAUGCGAGACGAGUCACGUGAAGAAAGGGAGUCCCCCGAAACAAACGCCUUCUGGCUCCCGGCAUUUGGGACUGUUGGACCAAUGAGGAUGACUCUGGUGCCAUUAUUCCACUGAACUCAAUUUAAUUAUACAGUUGUCCUCCUCUACAUCGCAGAGUGAAACCUGGAGGAGUGAUUGGUCAGGCCCACUCUACCAGCACCGCUCCUCACUUCCUGAACCCCCUGCACGCACACACACACACGAACCCCCCCACACAUACACAACACAUAUGGCAUUCAAGAAAAGUCCUGCUACAGCUCUACAUCCUGAAGAUGAAUUUCUACAAUAUAAUAAAAUAACCUACUGUUCGUGGGUUAAAAAAACAUUUCCAAGAUUUAAAAGUUCACAUAUGGCGCUAUUUUUGUAAAAGGACAUCUUUACAGAGGGUAAGAAUUUAGGAGAAAGACAAGAUUGUGAUUAAAAAAAAAGUAACUUAUGUAUUAAAAUACAAGCAAAAGCAAACUUAUGCUGUAUUUUUGUUCAUAUUCAGAAAAGAUGAAGGAUGUGUCCAGAAACUCUUACAGAAAAGAGGGUUUUUUCUUCCUUCUACUUUUUAAGAGUCAGUUUCUGUAACUUUUUCUCCAUUUUACCAAUGCUGUUUUUAUGACUACCUGAAUAAAGUCUACAUGUACAGAU